rnacentral:rRNA from 1 species
GGGUCAGUAGGUUGGUCGUGCCACCGGUACGUACUGGUCUCACUGAUUCCUCCUUCCUGAAGAACCUUAAUGCCAUUAAUUUGGUGUUGCGGGGAAACAGGACUGUUACUUUGAAAAAAUUAGAGUGAUUAAAGCAAGCUAACGCUUGAAUACAUUAGCAUGGAAUAAUGAAAUAGGACGAUCGAUCCUAUUUUGUUGGUUUCUAGGAUUGACGUA